AUGGAGGAAAAGCAUCCUGAGGUUGACACCCUCCCCUUCCACACCUCCCUGCUCUCAUGGGUGGAUGGUGGAAGUCAGGGCCUCCUUCCCAAUGAAGACUGUCACCCACAGAGAGCAACUGUGAGAGUAAUUACAGCUCUGGGUGUUGCAAUCAAGCCAGGAGGAAAGGAAGGAAGACCACUGACUAAUCAAGGUUUCAAAAGAGAAGGGAAAACACUUGGAAAAAAUGGAAGUUUCAUCUCUGGCCUGCCUUACAGCUUCUGGCAUAUUUUCAGAUGCCAACAAGUAAUGUCAAAGAAACAGCUGUUACAGUGAUCCUGCUUAACAGCCAUAAAGGAAUGAAGAUUUCCACAGAGAGCUUUAUCAGUCUCCACGGAGCUGCCAUUUCCUGCUGACUGAGAGACAAGAUGGAGUGCCAGAUUGUCAUUUAGUUUAACUCCAUGGAAAUGAGGCAAGGGAAUCUGACCGUGACUAAACCUUUGCAUCCAGCAAAAGAACACAGGGCAAUCAAGGAAACCUUCUGCUGGCCCUCAGAGGACAGACUGUUGGUAAGUUUGCAAGACGUGUUAGGCUGGCAGAGGGGGAGUCCCGAGGAACACAGAGGUGACAAAAACUCUUAGCAUUCAUUUAUUCAGACCUUUCAUUAAGCCAGAAUCGAAGCACUUCCUCUAAGAAGGCUGCCCUAAAGAUAUGGCUUUUAUGACCAGGAAAAGGUAAGCAGAAAAACAGACCCACCAGCCAGCAGAGGAAUGACUAACCACAAUGCUCAGGAGAGGUCUAGCACAACUCAACUAUUCCAGCUGUUUUCCUGACUUCUGUGUGUGUACAUACAUAUACAUGUACACACACACACACACACACAUACCCCUUUGUCAACCUUAGUUUUGCAAGUCUCUUGUUCAAUUGCUUGUACAGGACUUAGAGGAAAGAGAAAUGAGCAUCAAAAUAAACUUCUUUCUUUCUCUCUUUCUCUCCAGUUCUUAAUUCUUAAAUUGCCUAGUUUAAAUGAAAAAUUUUAA
rnacentral:lncRNA from 1 species